ensembl:snRNA U7 U7 small nuclear RNA
CAGUGUUAUAUAUAGCUCUUUUAGAAUUUGUCUAGCAGGUUUUCUGGUUUUCAUCCAAAAAACCCCC